GAUGAUGGUGCAGCUCCUGUGUGGACAUGCUCUGUCACAACAACACAACACCGAGCCAGAAGACGAAGCCGUAACAUAAGCAGCAGUUGCUGUUGAAUGACCGUGCUGACCUCCAAGCUGAGCUAUGGCAAGGCAGUGAACACAUCAGUGGUUUUGGACCAACCAGCUCUCCAGCUGCAUCACUGAAUCGGUGGAACUGCACAAACUACAAGUCUGCUGUGCCUCAUGCAUACUCCCGGCCGACCACAGUGCAAGAUUUAACUACUUAUAACAAGGGACAACAUGGCAUCCCCCACAUCCUU